rnacentral:rRNA from 1 species
GGAAGUAAAAGUCGUAAACAAGGUUUCCGUAGGUGAACCUGCGGAAGGAUCAUUACAGAAAUAGGAGAAGGUUGCUUAACUGCAAUCCUUUUCUUUCUACACAUGUGUUUUUCUUUUUUUUGAAAACUUUGCUUUGGUGGGCCCACGGCCUGCCAGAGAUUAAACUCAACCAAAUUUUUAUUUAAUUGUCAACCUGAUUAACUAAUAGUCAAAACUUUCAACAACGGAUCUCUUGGUUCUCGCAUCGAUGAAGAACGCUGCGAAAUGCAAUAAGUAAUAUGAAUUGCAGAUAUUCGUGAAUCAUCGAAUCUUUGAACGCACAUUGCGCCCUUUGGUAUUCCAAAGGGCAUGCCUGUUUGAGCGUCAUUUCUCCCUCAAACCUUCGGGUUUGGUGUUGAGCGAUACGCUGGGUUUGCUUGAAAGAAAGGCGGAGUAUAAACUAAUGGAUAGGUUUUUUUUCCACUCAUUGGUACAAACUCCAAACAUUCUUCCAAAUUCGACCUCAAAUCAGGUAGGACUACCCGCUGAACUUAAGCAUAUCAAUAAGCGGAGGAAAAGAAACCAACAGGGAUUGCCCCAGUAACG